GUGGGGAAUAUUGGACAAUGGGCGAAAGCCUGAUCCAGCCAUGCCGCGUGUGUGAAGAAGGUCUUCGGAUUGUAAAGCACUUUAAGUUGGGAGGAAGGGCAGUAAGUUAAUACCUUGCUGUUUUGACGUUACCGACAGAAUAAGCACCGGCUAACUUCGUGCCAGCAGCCGCGGUAAUACGAAGGGUGCAAGCGUUAAUCGGAAUUACUGGGCGUAACGCGCGCGUAGGUGGUUUUGUAAGUUGGAGGUGAAAUCCCCGGGCUCAACCUGGGAACUGCCUCCAAAACUGCAUGACUAGAGUACGGUAGAGGGUAGUGGAAUUUCCUGUGUAGCGGUGAAAUGCGUAGAUAUAGGAAGGAACACCAGUGGCGAAGGCGACUACCUGGACUGAUACUGACACUGAGGUGCGAAAGCGUGGGGAGCAAACAGGAUUAGAAACCCGUGUAGUCC
rnacentral:rRNA from 1 species